rnacentral:rRNA from 1 species
UACGGGGGGGGCAAGCGUUGUUCGGAAUUACUGGGCGUAAAGGGCUCGUAGGCGGCCAACUAAGUCAGACGUGAAAUCCCUCAGCUUAACUGGGGAACUGCGUCUGAUACUGGAUGGCUUGGAUUCGGGAGAGGGAUGCGGAAUUCCAGGUGUAGCGGUGAAAUGCGUAGAUAUCUGGAGGAACACCGGUGGCGAAGGCGGCAUCCUGGACCGGCAUUGACGCUGAGGCGCGAAAGCUAGGGGAGCAAACGGG